GGGAUGAAUAAAUAAGAGGAGGGGAGCGGGAGAUGCAAACAGGAAGGAGAGACGCGGCAGUGCAGGAGGAAGCAGAGAGGGCGAUGCUGCGGUUUCUAGGAAGAGGCUGGAGGUGCCGUGUGUCACGCGCCACCUCGUUCCACUUAACCUGGCGCGACGCAAAGACGGAAACGCCCUCCGCAGACCGAUAUCUGCGUGGAACCCGUGCGUGGCGCGCGCUCCAGGUGGAAGGCGCCUGCGAGACGCAGCGUGAGGCCGAGAGACUCGCUCGCCUUGCCAGAAUUGCUGGCACCAGCCCAAGGUAUCCAGGCCCAUCUCACCAGGGGACUGAAGAUCAGCGGGCAGCUCCAUGGGCAAAGCGGAGGUCCUGGUCCUUCGGGAACUGUGCCGUGGUGCUAGAAGCAGCAGUCACCAGUCCUGCCGGGGACUCAGCUGCAGCUGAAGGUUUAGGUGAGGAGUCUGCGACCCAGGGAGGCGGGGGCUGUCCCUGGGAUGGAGCAUCUACAGCCGGAGAGGGGGUCUUGCUGGGCUGGGAAGCCCCAGCAUCCGAGUCCUGCUGAGAGAUGAGCUGGAGCAAGGCAGCUGCCACGGCGGGGCUGAUGUCCUGACUGGGUUGGGUUUCUGACCCAGCCAGCAGCGUGGCAGAUGGAGGUGGACCGGGUGGAGAGGGUGGACGUUGCUCACUAGAUGGAGGCACCUGGUUGGCCCCAAGCUGUUUCCUUUUUGAUGCUGCACCAUCUGAAAAGGCCAGAGAGAAAACAGAAUUAGGCAUCAAGGUGAAAAGGACACAUUUACAUGGAUAUUUAGAUUAACCCUCAACCUUAUUUGUCUAGUUUGAGGUUACACAAUCUUUAUAUUCCUACCUUCACCACAAGAGGGAGGGCAGAGCACUCUGUGCUUAGGUACAUGAACCAUAUUCAAUACCCAAAUGCAUUUAAAGAACUUUUUAAACUAGUACUUGACUGAACUACUGAUGCAGCCUUAACUGUGUGAAGUUUGUCACUGUCCAUGCAAAUACAUUAUAUUCCAUAAAUGUCAGUGCUUAAAUUGGAACAAUAAGGUAUUUUAAAGCCACUAGUUAUGUUUAGUAAAUGCAUUAAAGCAGCUACAUGUUUGUUUGUUUUUUACUGUAAAGAUGCAAAACUUCACCAGCAAGUAAAUGCACUGUUGUAUCCGCACAUAUUUGACUCCCCUGCAAAAACAAAAAAGAAAAAAAAAAGAAAAAUGUGGGAACAUGAUGCACAGCUGGAUGAACAAGAGUGAUUUAUGUGGAUGUUUCUGUUUUUUAAAGGGCAAAAACAUCACUAAACCAGAUGUUAUUGAGCAAACUACCAGAAUUUAAAGUGAAUCAAGGCUGUAAAGGUUUCAGAGGGAAAAAAAAACAACUAAAAAAACAGGACGGUUAAUAUCCCAGUGCCAGUAUGAAUCAACCCCUUUAUUUUUCUUACUGAUCACAUUUGCGCUAACACCUAGGUCAGAGUAAACAGUUAAAACUGAAAAAAAGUGACAAACCAAAGUUGAAAAUAACACAUGCAGGUGAGGUCUAAAGAUUCAUUUAUUUCCACUUGAUAAUUUAUUAGACGUGUUUCAUAAAAAGGCUGACAUUACAGACUGCUUAGAGCAACAUCGCUUCCAGUGAAGAAUCCAUGAAACCUUUAUAAUGAAAAUGAAGUGAGGGAGGAAAAAACAUGUGGAAGUGAGACAGAUACAGAAGUCGAGA